rnacentral:ribozyme from 1 species
UUGUGCUGCCGUGGACAGAUGGUUUCGAGGAAUGCCCCCCCACCCGGUCGCAGAUGGACACUCUGAAGGGAGGGCGA